AGUAAUUUGGCUUAAAAUUUUCAGGCCAUGUAAUUUAAGGCCCACAAUUUCCAACACAUUGGGUCUGUGAGCCCAUUGGGCCAGGAUGUGCCAAUAAGUAUUUGAGAAGAAAACUGGAAAUUGUUCUCCACAUGUGGUAAGUGCCUUGAACUCAAGGGGAUAGUUCAUCAUACCCUACAAUAGAAGGCACCCUGAUGCACCGGGCAUGCUUUAUGAUAAUGUCGAUCAGGCAUCUCAUCACCUGAAACAACAAAUAAGAAGCAUCAGAUCACCUGAUCAAAGAAGACGGCAUUAAAUCCCUUUCGACCUUCUUAUAGUUCCCUACAAGAGAGUUCGGUUUCCGCCUGAUCCAUCAAUCCCGCUUUAUGACAAUGUCGAUCAAACAUAUCAUCAACUAAACCCUAGAAGUCAUCUAGUAAAAGAAAAAGGGUGAAACCC
rnacentral:lncRNA from 1 species